rnacentral:rRNA from 1 species
GACGAACGCUGGCGGCGUGCUUAACACAUGCAAGUCGAACGGAAAGGCCCUGGUUUUGGGGGGUGCUCGAGUGGCGAACGGGUGAGUAACACGUGAGUAACCUGCCCUUGACUUUGGGAUAACUUCAGGAAACUGGGGCUAAUACCGGAUAGGAGCGCCUGCUGCAUGGUGGGGGUUGGAAAGUUUCGGCGGUUGGGGAUGGACUCGCGGCUUAUCAGCUUGGUUGUGGGGUAGUGGCUUACCAAGGCUUUGACGGGUAGCCGGCCUGAGAGGGUGACCGGCCACAUUGGGUCUGAGAUACGGCCCAGACUCCUUCGGGCGGCAGCAGUGGGGAAGAUUGCAUCAUGGGCGGAAGCCUGACGCAGCAACGCCGCGUGCGUGAUGACGGCCUUCGGUUUGUAAGCCGCUUUCGCCUGUUACGAAGCGUGAGUGACGGUACUGGGUAAAGAAGCACCGGCUAACUACGUG